AGAAGGAAAGAUCAUAUGGAACUUAAUCGCAUAAAUCCAUAACUAAAGGAGAGAGAAAGAAUACUAAAUGAAAAGUGAUCCUAAUACUCUCCCCAAUAUGUAUCAUCUGAAAUUUAAAUCUGAAAAUCUUUAUGAUACACCUUGAGGCUUGUUAUUUGGUUAAUAUAUCUUAUGCAUAAAUCAUGAACCAAAUUGCAAUUCAAACAGUUGAUCUUAAGAGCCUCUAACUUAAUGAAA
rnacentral:lncRNA from 1 species